GCCUGGGUGGCUCAGUUGGUUUAGUGUCUGACUCUUGAUUUUCGGCUCCGGUCGUGAUCUCAUGGUUCGUGGGUUCAAGCCCCACACCAGGCU
rnacentral:tRNA from 1 species